UACGGAGGGGGCUAGCGUUGUUCGGAAUUACUGGGCGUAAAGCGCGCGUAGGCGGACCUGCAAGUCGGGGGUGAAAGCCCGAGGCUCAACCUCGGAACUGCCUUCGAUACUGCGGGUCUCGAGUCCGGGAGAGGUGAGGGGAAUUCCUAGUGUAGAGGUGAAAUGCGUAGAUAUCGGGAGGAACACCAGUGGCGAAGGCGACUUCCUGGCCUGUUCUUGACGCUGAGGCGCGAAAGCUAGGGUAGCAAACGGG
rnacentral:rRNA from 1 species